AUCAUCAGCAAAAUUAAGCAAAAGGUGCUUAAGUAACUCUAUCGCAUCAUUGUACCUAAAUGAAGAAGUGGAUAUGCGAGAGUCAGAUACUGCAAUACAUCUCAAGACCAUUGAUGAAUCAUCUUCUUCAAGAGAUUCAUCCAUGACCUGUGCCACUUCAAGAGCCUAAUGACAGCUCACCACCAGUUAUAAGUUUAGUAAAGGCUGCAUAAUACCUAAAAUAUGUGAGAGUGUCUAGACAUUUACCUCUUCAUAAGAUAGUAGAUCAUUCCGGCUGGAAAAUAUCUGGUCAGUGACAACACAAUUGUAAGUUGGAUAUUUCACAAUUCCCAUAUCCACGAGUAAAAAUGCUGACAGAUCUUGCUCUCCAUUACAGAAGAAAAGCCUCUGCAUAGCAACAACAUAAAAGAAAGAUAUCAGGAAUGUAUCUAUAAAAGUAAAGUUUCAAGCUGGUAAAAAUGUUUUAGUUGAUAUAGUGUUCCUUUCUUCACAACUGAAUGAGCCAAUUAAGAAAUGUUUUAUUUUAGAUGCAGGUGGGGAUUGAUCUUAAAUAUCAUGACCACUCAACUAGCCUUUCAAAUUGUACGGGUGGGCGGUUAAAUUUAUUUUAAUACUAUUACAGUUA